CGGCAAGAGCUCAAAUUUGAAAGCUGGCCCCUUCGGGGUCCGCAUUGUAAUUUGCAGAGGAUGCUUCGGGAGUGGCCCCCAUCUAAGUGCCCUGGAACGGGCCGUCAUAGAGGGUGAGAAUCCCGUCUGGGAUGGGGUGUCCACGCCCGUGUGAAGCUCCUUCGAC
rnacentral:rRNA from 1 species